GAUACCGCCCAAGAGUUCAUAUCGACGGCGGUGUUUGGCACCUCGAUGUCGGCUCAUCACAUCCUGGGGCUGAAGUCGGUCCCAAGGGUAUGGCUGUUCGCCAUUUAAAGUGGUACGCGAGCUGGGUUUAGAACGUCGUGAGACAGUUCGGUCCCUAUCUGCCGUGGGCGUUGGAAGAUUGAAGGGGGCUGCUCCUAGUACGAGAGGACCGGAGUGGACGAACCUCUGGUGUUCGGGUUGUGUCGCCAGACGCAUUGCCCGGUAGCUAAGUUCGGAAUCGAUAACCGCUGAAAGCAUCUAAGCGGGAAGCGAGCCCUGAGAUGAGUCUUCCCUGAUACUUUAAGUAUCCUAAAGGGUUGUUCGAGACUAGAACGUUGAUAGGCAGGGUGUGUAAGCGUUGUGAGGCGUUGAGCUAACCUGUACUAAUUGCCCGUGAGGCUUAACCAUACAACACCCAAGGGGUUU
rnacentral:rRNA from 1 species